GACGAACGCUGGCGGCGUGCUUAACACAUGCAAGUCGAACGGAAAGGCCCUGCUUUUGUGGGGUGCUCGAGUGGCGAACGGGUGAGUAACACGUGAGUAACCUGCCCUUGACUUUGGGAUAACUUCAGGAAACUGGGGCUAAUACCGGAUAGGAGCUCCUGCUGCAUGGUGGGGGUUGGAAAGUUUCGGCGGUUGGGGAUGGACUCGCGGCUUAUCAGCUUGUUGGUGGGGUAGUGGCUUACCAAGGCUUUGACGGGUAGCCGGCCUGAGAGGGUGACCGGGCACAUUGGGACUGCGAUACGGACCAGACUCGUACGUGAGGCAGCAGUGGGGAAUAUUGCACAAUGGGCGGAAGCCUGAUGCAGCAGCGCCGCGUGCGGGAUGACGGCCUUCGGGUUGUAAACCGCUUUCGCCUGUGACGAAGCGUGAGUGACGGUAAUGGGUAAAGAAGCACCGGCUAACUACGUG
rnacentral:rRNA from 1 species